UCCAGGCAAGAAUACUAGAGUGGGUUGUCAUGCCCUCUUGCAGGGGAUCUUCCUGACCCAGGGACUGAGCCCUUGUCUCUUAUGUCUUCUACAUUGACAAGUGGGUUCUUUACCACUAGCACCACCUGGGAAGCCCCUAGAAACCAAUACUGCCAGUCUUUUCUGCUCCAGCUUGGAAGCUGCUCUAAGCUGAGUCGGGCUGGGCUGGCUGGUUUGGAUGGUGCCAGCAUCAUGGCUUCUGAACUGCUGUUUUAGGGAGAUUUGUGAUGGUAAUUUGACGUGUCAGUCUCUUAGCUUUCUCUCUUUCCAGCUGGAUGAAAGCAAGACCUUGUGUUCUUUAUUAGAGCCAGAGGGUAGGACUGGACAAACUUCAAGACCCAGACCAGAUCCAUAGUGACCACGAUGGUUUCUCCUGAAGCAGCCCUGAAACCGAAGUCUCCUGGUGGCCAGGAGGUGGAAGAUUCCUGGUCAUCUGGGCUCCCAGGAUCCAGCUUAUUCUUCAUGUGUUGCUAAAAGAGGACAGAGCAGUUGUUCUCAUAACAGUUCCCUGGCUGAGCAAAUGCUGCAACCCAGUCAUCAGCACUGAAGGCAACUGAGUUCAUGACCUACAUCCUGACUGUUUCUAAAGGGAGCUGUAGCCACCCAGUGAUUUAUUUCAUGGAUGAUCAGCCUUCAAAACUGUGCAACGGUGAUUGGGCAUGAAUCCUGUAAGUGCCAAUAAUGUGUGAAGUCUGUGUUCAGUGCCCCAGGGCUGCAUUGUGCCUCGAAAGAGUCAGCCUGGAUUCGUGGCUUGAGGUGGAAGCCAAAGUGACUGCAGCCACUUAUACGAGGUGGACUGACCUGCUGCUCUGGUGCCCUUCCCUGGGCACCCAGCCCUGCUGGGUGGUCUCUGUCCUGACCCAGGACCUGUGAUUGACGUGAAGGGGUGGAAGCCAAAGAGCUGCGGACAAAUGGUUUGCCUUGGCCCCGCUUGCUCAGAGAGCAUGGAACACAUCUGGAGGGGGUCCUGCUGCUCUCCGUCUGCAGUCUUACCCUAAGGAUCUCAUGGAUGAAGGAAUCUGGAAGGUACCAGCCCUGUUCUCAAAGCUGUGUGUGCUGUGCUUGGUCGCUCAGUGUGUCCAACUCUUUGCAGCCCCAUGGACUAUAG
rnacentral:lncRNA from 1 species